UGUGCCAGCAGCCGCGGUAAUACGUAGGUGGCAAGCGUUAUCCGGAAUUAUUGGGCGUAAAGCGCGCGUAGGCGGUUUUUUAAGUCUGAUGUGAAAGCCCACGGCUCAACCGUGGAGGGUCAUUGGAAACUGGAAAACUUGAGUGCAGAAGAGGAAAGUGGAAUUCCAUGUGUAGCGGUGAAAUGCGCAGAGAUAUGGAGGAACACCAGUGGCGAAGGCGACUUUCUGGUCUGUAACUGACGCUGAUGUGCGAAAGCGUGGGGAUCAAACAGGAUUAGAUACCCUGGUAGUCCACGCCGUAAACGAUGAGUGCUAAGUGUUAGGGGGUUUCCGCCCCUUAGUGCUGCAGCUAACGCAUUAAGCAC
rnacentral:rRNA from 1 species